GUCGUUUUUUACUCUAUCUAUCUCUCACAUUACAUAUUAUCCAUAUUCAUCUUAUCAGAAGCAGAAAGAAGAAAAAUCAAAAGUGGCAAUGGCAGCAGCAACAGCAGCUAUGGCUGCUCUUCAGAGCUCAAUGACCUCUCUCUCUCUAUCUUCCAACCCUUUCUUCGGACAAUCUCUCUCUCCUAUCACUCUCUCUCCUCUCUUGGUACACUACACUCUCUUCUCUACACCAAUUUCCUUUAUUUCAAUUCAAGUUUCAAUUUUGAUCAUUCUAUUCGCUUCCUUUAUCCCUGUAUUCUAAUGGGUCCUUGCAAUAUUUCCUUAGGUCCAUUUAGAAUCCAAGUUCAUGACCUCAUGGCUAUUAGCAUUUUAAUUGUAAAUUGGUGACUUGAAAUUUAUUUAAGUUUAUUUGAAAAUAUGUGGCUUCUUUUUCUUACUACACAGUCCUCAUUGAUGUUUUGAAUAUUAUGUCAUGUUCAAAUGUAUUUGUUUUAUUUGUCAUGUAAGUGUAUUUGUUUUACUACACAGUCCAAAUGGAGAGGUUGAUUACAGGAUUUGAAAGCUUGACUUUAUGGUCACUAAACACUUAUUGGGAAAAAUAAAAGGUUGAUUACAGGAUUUGAAAGCUUGACUUUAUGGUCACUAAACACUUAUUGGGAAAAAUAAAAGGUUGAUU
rnacentral:lncRNA from 1 species